GAACCGACAACUCGUUUUUUGUUUCAGUUUGUUUUUCGACAAAGUUAAAGGCCUUAAAGCUAAUUAUUCUCCUAAUUUAAUUAAAAAUUUUAUUUGUGGCGCUCACGUUGAAAUAGAAGUAAACAAAAAAUAAGUGGCAUCAAGCUUCAUCAAUUGGCAACAUCCCUAGUUCGCUAACUAGUUCAACUUAGUUUGACGAAAGUUAGUCUGUACUCUGUAGGCUGCGUCUUCCGGUCCAGACGGAUUAAAAAUUCACGUCGGUCGACGGUCAUAGAGUAGACCUGGAGUAGACCCAGGAUUGAGGCUUCCAAGUUCCAACUCAACGUAGUGUCAUGUACACUGAAGUUUCAUCAUUUGGACAUUUGAAUGAUUUAAUUGUAGUAAGCAAUUGCCCAAUCUUAUAUCUUAAUAACUGCGAACGGGUGUACACGUGGUGGAGCAGUCAAGGAAAUGUUGAAAACACAACCGGAUUCCCUCGCCAGAAUUCCAGAACAAGAAGCCAGGCAUAAAUGGUUUGGAUUGGAUUUCAAUUUCUGCAUGUUGAAAACAUUUUGUGCCACAAGAAAAUUAAAUUCUGUGAGUACAUCUAGGGCUUAUCACCAUCGUUCACCUAAGUCUAGGUUUUUUCCACUUCAUUACAGCAUCCAGUGGUGAAGAACAAGUGAACUUGGGCAUUCAGUGUAUGCCACACCCCAACCUGAACUGCUGGAGGCCUAAAUGUAUCACUGAUGAAGACAAACGAGAAAAACUAUGGCAACUGGAUAUAUCGACGGUGGUGCCGGUGCUGUGGGGGCAGUCAGCAGUAAGCCAGGGGUCGCCGGACCGAAAAGUGGAGUUUGAUGACUUAAAAAUCUUUUGACUCUGCAGACACACAUGAGCAACAUGAUUAUUGGCUAAUCGUUUGAUCUACAAACAUCCAACUGAACAGGUAUUGAAGGAUAGUGUUUAAAAGGUGGGAAAUGGAUGGAAAAUUUUGUACGAUAAAAUGCUGCAUAUCAUUAUAACGAUGGCACAGGUAUGCUGUAUUUCUUCAAUGGCCAAAAUUUAAAUUCAAUUCUCUGGUUGUGAGAAUAGUGAGUGUUGGUGGCCCAACCUAAUUUGAAUAACAUUAAGCUUUUGAGUCGAAUCUAUAGAGUAACGUGAUGGCUCGCAGUCCUUUUAAAGAUGAUAAUUUAACUUGUAUUUUACAAUUGAUACAUUGAAUUGCAAUCCUAAAACUUUUGACAGGAUAAAUUUGUGUCAUCCACUGCUUCGUGAAGAUGUGUUAGAGUGAAACACUGUUCAAUUGUUGACUUUGUUUCCUUUAAGUGAGUUUUAAGCCAUUUGGUAUUAAUUUGAUAUUGUUUUUUGUAAACCCAUCCCCGGCAACGUCAACCUGCAGAAGGAAGAGGCCAGUUU